AGAGGUUGCCUUCGGUGGGCCCUUCCUCCCUUUCUCCUCCACCCACUACCGGCGCUCUCCAAUCCAUCGCAGCCCGCCCUUUAUUAAAGUGGCGGGAACGGGCGGCGAGGAACUCUUGGCGUCGACUUUCCUUCCACUCCGGUUGCUGCUGCUGCUGCUGCUGGGCGAGAGGGACGCCAAACUCUUCUCCCGGGCGCCAGAAGCUGCGGAAAGAGCCUCUACUUUGCCCGUCUCGGCAGAGCAGCUCUCGCCGCCGGCACGGGAACGGCCCGCCGAGGCUGCUAGCGCGCUUGUCCUUCUUUCUUCAUCAGGCGGCCGGAAUAGAACAGAGGAAAGACAGUAGGUACUGAGAUAAGGCAAACUCCAUCCGAAGAUACUGAAGGCUGCUUCACCUCUGAAGACUUUGAACACUGUCCACAUCUAGGUUUUUCACAUAAAGCGGUCCUGCUGGCUACUUGGAUUUCUCAUCUGAAGAAACCAUUUGAUAGUUUUUCCUCUCUCAGGUGAAACCCCCGCCACAAUGAAGUGUUCCCUUGUUCUGACAGUGCUGCUGUCCUUAUUAGUGGCAAAGCUAUGUCGUGGUUACUGUAUUGAGUCUCUGGAGCAACAGAUGCCCAGCGGAGUCCAAACAAAGAAGAACCCAGAACUCUAUAAGCUGCCACUAUCCUUGCUCCGACGAUUGUAUGGUGGCCAAGGGAUAUCCUAUGAGGCACUGCUCAGGCUGUCAGGCAAAGAAG